GUUUUCUUUUUCUCUCUUCUCUCUAGCCGCCUCCUCUUUUCAUCUCCGACGGGGCUUCCAUCGGUUUCCGGUGGAAAGCCCCAAAUCUUUUCGUUUGAUUGCUAGUUUUUGAUUGUUCUUGCUUUUUCAUUGAGUUUCUUAAUAAAUCUCCAUCUUCGGGGAAAGUUUUCUUAGAUCUAUAUCACCGAAACUUUCGAUUUUCGUUCUUAUUCGCUUCCAGAGGCCUUUUUGGAUUUGUGAGUGGAUCGAUUAUCUCCUAAGCGUCGUGGUGCAGAUCUAAUUGUUUUAGUUUGUUUUGAUUAUAGUUUGAUUUCUCUCCCUGGUGAGAGUGUGUGAUUUUUCUCUCCUUUUUUUGUAAGAGUGGUUUGGAUUCAUAGAUAAAGCCUUUCGGGAAUUGCAUUUGUGGUCGAUAGCUCAAACGGAGUUUUUGGAAAAGAUGGUGAACACAGAGCAAGAAUCUAUAGAUGUACCAUCGUCAAUUUCAACAUCGCUUAUUUGUCUCAUCUUGG
rnacentral:lncRNA from 1 species